UACGAAGGGGGCUAGCGUUGUUCGGAAUUACUGGGCGUAAAGCGUGCGCAGGCGGCUUCUCAAGUCAGGGGUGAAAGCCCAGAGCUCAACUCUGGAAUUGCCUUUGAGACUGAGUGGCUUGAGUACGGGAGAGGUGAGUGGAAUUCCCAGUGUAGAGGUGAAAUUCGUAGAUAUUGGGAAGAACACCGGUGGCGAAGGCGGCUCACUAGCCCGUAACUGACGCUCAUGCACGACAGCGUGGGGAUCAAACAGG
rnacentral:rRNA from 1 species